rnacentral:lncRNA from 1 species
AUGAUGUUGCACAUGGUAAAAGACAUUUCUGAGGAGUUGAUAAUUCUCUCCACCACAUGCCCACAUUGCGCAGUACUCGGGCACAGUCACUGCCUGGUGACCCAUUCAUCCUGGUUUGCCCGGGAUGCUCCUCGCAUUAGCUCUGAAUGUUCCAGUACCCAGGUACCUGUCCCUGGGCAAACAGGGAUGGUUGGUCACUCGACCCCUUGCACUGAUUCUAUGUCUUCCUUUCAGGCUGGGAACAUAGAACAGAACACUCAGCCUCACCACGAAGCAGAGACAAGCAUGUGUCUCCGCUCUGGGAUAUUCAGAAGCUACAGAACAGCAAAGGAUCACCACAGCCCAAGACAAUCAACUUCUUAACAAACGGAAGAGUGAUCACGACCCCCACAAUGACGCAACCAGAUAUAGAGUGAUGAAUGGUUAGGAGGAGAAAGGAUUCUAUUGGCCUUCCUUAUUCUGGAGAGUCCUUGGCAGAG